AAUAUCAUACAUUAAAAUCCCACCUGAUCUCAACAUGGGCAGUUGUAUGGAAGAAAAGGAGGAGAAAUGAAAGCAUUCUGUUGGGGACCUCAUGCAGACCUUUUUGUGACAAAAUGUGGAGGUAUGAUUAAUUCUACAUCUUGAUAGAAAAAUUUAGUAUUUAAUUUGCUUAGUGCAAACUCAUGAGAGGACUCAGAAUUUUUUUAAAAUAGCAUGAAAAACUUUUAAAUAAUUGUAGUCCAAAGAAGGGGAAGGAGGAGGAAAUGAAGAAGGAGUAGGAAGAGAGGGAAGAAGAGGAGGAACAAAUAAGAGAACAUCAUAAAUAAAUAGCAAAUCUGGGUAGCAAAAACAAGUGUUAAUACAGAACAUUAAAUGUGAAUUGAUUAAAUAAAUGAAAUUUACCUUUUAAAAAACCAUUUAUUUUGAUUUAAAAAUUCAAUCAGAUGCUGUUUAUAAAGGACACAACUAAAAUAAAAAUUGCAGUGUGAUUGAAAAUAGAUUAAAAAUUUAAAAUCUGACAGAACUUUCCCAUGUACAUAUAUGAAUAUGUACCAAUAAAACUUCGUAUCAUGUACAACCACAGGAACGGGAACCUCAUUAGAAUAAGUUAUACUUCAUGUAUACAUAAUAUGUCAAAAUAUACUCUACUGUCAUAUAUAUCUAAAAAUAAUAAAUAAAAACUUAUGCUUGGGCUGGGAUUGUGGCUCAGUGGUAGAGCGCUCGCCUAGCACGUGUGAGGCCCUGAGUUUGAUCCUCAACACCACAUAAAAAUAAAUAAAUAAAAUAAAGAUAUUGGUCCAACUAAAAAUAAAUAUUGAAAAAAACAUAUGCUAAUGCUUACAGAAAAAUAAAACAAAUGUAGAAGUUGUAAUAUCAGAAAAACUGAAUUCAAGAGAAAAGCUUGGCAAGGUUCAGAGGAAGAUAUUUGACACUGAUUACCCACCAACAUAAUAGAAGCACAUGAAGCUCUCUGUACCUAAGAGCAUAGCUCAGAAAUAGAAUGAAAUGUGACAUUCACAUGGGGAGAAAUUGUCAGAGGUUUGAAACCAUUUCUCUCAAAGUAUCAACAUACUGGGUGUGGAAUUUCCUUUAAGUAGGCCAAAAAGAAACAAAAAAUAAUAAUCUCAAUGAAUGGCAAAGAAUUGAAAUUAUGUACUCUACAUUGGCUGACCACAAUGAAAUAAAACAUUUUUUAAAAAUUUAAAAUGUAACUCAUUGGUAGAGCAUUGGUGGACCCACAAGACCCAGUUCAAUCCCCAGCAACACACACACACACAUUUAAUAAAUUGCUAAUACAGCUGGUCUCAGUGUGCAUGCCUGUAAUCCCAGCAGUUUGGGAGGCUGAGACAGGAGGAUUACCAGUUUAAAGCCAGCCUCAGCAACAGCAAGGCUGUUGCAAUUUUGUGAGACCCUGUCUCUAAAUAAAAUACAAAAUAGGGCUGGGGUUGUGGCUGAGUUCAAAUCCCCCUCCCCCAAAAAAUUGCUAAUACAAAGGCAUUCUUUGUUUGGAAACCUAAAAUAUUUUUAAAAAUAAUUUGUGAAAUUCUAAAUUCUAGAGUAAUGACAGAGUAGUGUUCUAAUUCUAACCUUUCUACCAAUAACAACGGUAAGCUCAAUACAACUGUUUAGAGUCACUAAAGAGUCACGAAAAACUGGCAGAAGCUAGAAGGAAAUUGGUCAUUGAAAGAGGAGAAGUGGUGAGUUCCAUACUGACCCAGCUUUGUUCCUGAGGGCAAGUGCCAGUUUACACUGGGGGAGAGAGUUUAAACAGCAAAUGACAAUCUUACUGGGCUGGGAAGACACACAUUGGGGUUUGAAGCAAUCACAGUUUAAUAAAUAUAAUAAAAUUCUAACAAUUUAGGGGAACUAUCUCAAAAAAGGAAGCAUCUUUAGAAACAAAACCAAAAUCUGCUUUAAAAUCGCCCUUCAAUCCUUGACUGAUUCUCUAAUCUGGGCAAGUCUCCCAGAGACUCAUUGAGAAGAAAUAGCUGGAAGGCUAAAAAAAAUGUUGAGCAGCGAAUCCAGCAAUUGUCCUGAAAUUGAGAGACAGCUUGGAGUUCCAAUUCUACCAAAUUAGGGAUUUGGAAUGCCAGUUAAUUUUAUUAAUUUUAUGUCAAUAUGGCUGUUCCACAGUGCCUGGUGUGCAUUAUUUUGGAUGUUUCCAUGAGAGUGUUUGUGGAUGAGAUUUUUAUUUAAAUUAGUGGACUUUGAAAGUAAAGCACAUUGCCCUCCAUAAUGUCACUGGGCUUGGUCUAAUCAGUUGAAGAUCCAGAUAGAACAAGACUGAUCUCCCCUGAUGAAGAAGAAAUUAUGCAGUAGAUGACCUUCAGACCUGAACUGCAAUAUGAACUCUUUCUGGAUCUUUAGCCUGCCACCCACCAUGCAGAGUUAGUACUUCAAGCCUCUGUAAUUGUGUAAGCUGAUUCCUUAAAAUAAAUCUUUUUAUAUAAAUAAGUCCUGUUUGUUCUGUUAUUUUAAAGAACACAAACACUCUUGGCAAGCAUAAGUGUACUUGUAUUGGAACUAAGACUAGGGGUUAUGCCCUAGGACUAGAGAUAAAACUUAUAUAGACCAACACAGUCUAAAACCAGGAUUCUAUGGAAUCCAAGUAAUUGACAAUAAUUUAACUUGCCAGACUAAAGAUUCGUGCCCAGGUCUUAAUUUAUAAAGAUGUAUGAGUGACAACAUAGAGAAAUUAUUACUUUCAUUUCCCAAAAGAAAGGGACACAUCAUGUUACCCAGGCCACAGGGUGGAAGUACCGUGUUUAGUCAAGAGGCAGAAGGAAUGUGUCUUCCGUGAAGGGCAGGGCUGUUUUAGAACUUGCUCAUCAGAAUAACAUUGACUUGGUGUGUAAGUCAGAUAAAAGGAGGUGCUUGGGGCAUGGACUUGGGAUUGCUUAGAAGGCUUGUGAUAUGAUUUUCCUGGCACCUAUGACAGCUGANUGGGAGGCUGAGACAGGAGGAUUACCAGUUUAAAGCCAGCCUCAGCAACAGCAAGGCUGUUGCAAUUUUGUGAGACCCUGUCUCUAAAUAAAAUACAAAAUUUUAUUUUAUUUGGGGUUGUGGCUGAGUUCAAAUCCCCCUCCCCCCAAAAAUUGCUAAUACAAAGGCAUUCUUUGUUUGGAAACCUAAAAUAUUUUUUAAAAUAAUUUGUGAAAUUCUAAAUUCUAGAGUAAUGACAGAGUAGUGUUCUAAUUCUAACCUUUCUACCAAUAACAACGAUAAGCUCAAUACAACUGUUUAGAGUCAUUAAAGAGUCACGAAAAACUGGCAGAAGCUAGAGGGAAAUUGGUCAUUGAAAGAGGAGAAGUGGUGAGUUCCAUACUGACCCAGCUUUGUUCCUGAGGGCAAGUGCCAGUUUACACUGGGGGAGAGAGUUUAAACAGCAAAUGACAAUCUUACUGGGCUGGGAAGACACACAUUGGGGUUUGAAGCAAUCACAGUUUAAUAAAUAUAAUAAAAUUCUAACAAUUUAGGGGAACUAUCUCAAAAAAGGAAGCAUCUUUAGAAACAAAACCAAAAUCUGCUUUAAAAUCGCCCUUCAAUCCUUGACUGAUUCUCUAAUCUGGGCAAGUCUCCCAGAGACUCAUUGAGAAGAAAUAGCUGGAAGGCUAAAAAAAAUGUUGAGCAGCGAAUCCAGCAAUUGUCCUGAAAUUGAGAGACAGCUUGGAGUUCCAAUUCUACCAAAUUAGGGAUUUGGAAUGCCAGUUAAUUUUAUUAAUUUUAUGUCAAUAUGGCUGUGCCACAGUGCCUGGUGUGCAUUAUUUUGGAUGUUUCCAUGAGAGUGUUUGUGGAUGAGAUUUUUAUUUAAAUUAGUGGACUUUGAAAGUAAAGCACAUUGCCCUCCAUAAUGUCACUGGGCUUGGUCUAAUCAGUUGAAGAUCCAGAUAGAACAAGACUGAUCUCCCCUGAUGAAGAAGAAAUUAUGCAGUAGAUGACCUUCAGACCUGAACUGCAAUAUGAACUCUUUCUGGAUCUUUAGCCUGCCACCCAC
rnacentral:lncRNA from 1 species